rnacentral:rRNA from 1 species
AGAGUUUGAUCCUGGCUCAGGACGAACGCUGGCGGCACGCUUAACACAUGCAAGUCGAACGAGAGAAGAGGAGCUUGCUUUUCUGAUCUAGUGGCGGACGGGUGAGUAACACGUGAGCAAUCUGCCUUUCAGAGGGGGAUACCGAUUGGAAACGAUCGUUAAUACCGCAUAACAUAAUUGAACCGCAUGAUUUGAUUAUCAAAGAUUUAUCGCUGAAAGAUGAGCUCGCGUCUGAUUAGCUAGUUGGUAAGGUAACGGCUUACCAAGGCGACGAUCAGUAGCCGGACUGAGAGGUUGAUCGGCCACAUUGGGACUGAGACACGGCCCAGACUCCUACGGGAGGCAGCAGUGGGGAAUAUUGCACAAUGGAGGAAACUCUGAUGCAGCGAUGCCGCGUGAGGGAAGAAGGUUUUAGGAUUGUAAACCUCUGUCUUCAGGGACGAAAAAAGACGGUACCUGAGGAGGAAGCUCCGGCUAACUACGUGCCAGCAGCCGCGGUAAUACGUAGGGAGCGAGCGUUGUCCGGAAUUACUGGGUGUAAAGGGAGCGUAGGCGGGAUCGCAAGUCAGAUGUGAAAACUAUGGGCUUAACCCAUAAACUGCAUUUGAAACUGUGGUUCUUGAGUGAAGUAGAGGUAAGCGGAAUUCCUAGUGUAGCGGUGAAAUGCGUAGAUAUUAGGAGGAACAUCAGUGGCGAAGGCGGCUUACUGGGCUUUAACUGACGCUGAGGCUCGAAAGCGUGGGGAGCAAACAGGAUUAGAUACCCUGGUAGUCCACGCCGUAAACGAUGAUUACUAGGUGUGGGGGGACUGACCCCUUCCGUGCCGCAGCAAGCGCAAUAAGUAAUCCACCUGGGGAGUACGACCGCAAGGUUGAAACUCAAAGGAAUUGACGGGGGCCCGCACAAGCAGUGGAGUAUGUGGAUUAAUUCGAAGCAACGCGAAGAACCUUACCAGGUCUUGACAUCGUAUGCAUAGCUCAGAGAUGAGUGAAAUCUCUUCGGAGACAUAUAGACAGGUGGUGCAUGGUUGUCGUCAGCUCGUGUCGUGAGAUGUUGGGUUAAGUCCCGCAACGAGCGCAACCCUUACUGUUAGUUGCUACGCAAGAGCACUCUAGCAGGACUGCCGUUGACAAAACGGAGGAAGGUGGGGAUGACGUCAAAUCAUCAUGCCCCUUAUGACCUGGGCCUCACACGUACUACAAUGGCUGUCAACAGAGGGAAGCAAAGCCGCGAGGUGGAGCGAACCCCUAAAAGCAGUCUUAGUUCGGAUUGUAGGCUGCAACCCGCCUACAUGAAGUCGGAAUUGCUAGUAAUCGCAGAUCAGCAUGCUGCGGUGAAUACGUUCCCGGGCCUUGUACACACCGCCCGUCACGCCAUGGGAGUCGGUAACACCCGAAGCCUGUAGUCUAACCGCAAGGAGGACGCAGUCGAAGGUGGGAUUGAUGACUGGGGUGAAGUCGUAACAAGGUA